rnacentral:rRNA from 1 species
UACGUAGGGUGCGAGCGUUAAUCGGAAUUACUGGGCGUAAAGCGUGCGCAGGCGGUUUUGUAAGAACAGGCGUGAAAAUCCCCGAGCUCAACUUGGGAAUUGCGCUUGUGACUGCAAGGCUAGAGUGUGUCAGAGGGGGGUAGAAUUCCACGUGUAGCAGUGAAAUGCGUAGAGAUGUGGGAGGAAUACCCGAUGGCGAAAGGCAGCCCCCCUGGGACAUGACUGACGGCUCAUGCACGAAAGCGUGGGGAGCAAACAGG